CCAAACACUUCUGGAGAACUCACCAUGGGCCAAUUUCUAUUUCUCCUUGCUCUUUUCACUUACUGCUCAGGUAGGACUGUGGAGAUGACCUCAUGAUAUGUAGACCAAGCGAAGCUCUUUGUAUUUAUCAAUGGAAUAUAUUACUUGGUGGGUGUUUGAAAGUGCAUCCGGCUCAUAGUACCUGUUCUUUCUGGUUUUCCUUUUAGAAGGUGUCACUUCCCAGUCAGCUUGGACUCAGCCUGCCUCUGAGUCGGCGACCCUGGGACAAACAGCUAAACUCUCCUGUACCACUAAUGAUGGCAGCGAAAUAAUUCACUGGUAUCAACAGAGAUCUGGAGAAGCCCCUCUCUUUCUGCACUGUGAGGGUUGCAGCAACAGGGGAGAAGGGAUCCCAGAUCGGUUCACUGCUUCCCGUUCUGGGAGCAUUGGCUAUUUGACCAUCACCAACAUCCAGGCUAGAGACGAGGCAGUUUAUUACUGUGGUAGGUGGAAUACGGCUGGUAUCGUGUUC